rnacentral:piRNA from 1 species
UAAAAGUUUUGACACACUCAUUCGCGUGAUC